AAUGAGACAUGGCAACGACGGGGUACGAUUUCAAAUGUAAACAAAAACAAACUAGAAACUAACCAAAAAUAUAAACUGAUCAAACAAACCCUCUGAACAAACCUGUCGUCGUCGUCCCGCAAUUUCUUGUCUACGUUUGUCAUCAACAAGACCUUUACUAUCUUUAUCUCAUCUUACACUAAAAUUCUUCUAAGUGACAAAUGAAGGUAAGCAUUUUAUUACCUCUUUUACUCACCAAAUACCUACCAAAUUAUCUUGACUUUACUGACUUAUCAAUCAAUGCAACUCCUUAUCUAUUUUAGUCAUAUGUAGGUACCCAUAAAUUUUCAAGACAGGUAUCAAGAGCAAUGCAGAUAAUUGUAAGCUCGAAUGAAGGUAAAUUGUCCUUUCCAAAGCAAAAUGUGCCAGAAAUCUUCAAAUUUGGUAUCUUAGAUGUGGUAAAAUAGUUUCACCAUUUCAUUGCCGUAGCAGAGUCUGUGUCAGCUAAGUUAACAUCUGCUGUUUCCUGCUUGCCGACUAGCAACUUUGCUGCUGUCAUUUAAUUUUGAUCAAGGGUUAAACCAGGGUGAUCCUGUUGUUGCCUUACACAGGUACCCAAACACUGUACGUUGUAUAAUAGUCAGAGGUAAGCAAGUUUCAACAAAUCCGAUACAAGCUUUAAACGUUUAACUACCCUGUGAUUUUUCAUUCUUGAUUAAAGUCUGGAAAUCCUUUCAAUCUUUACAGAGUCAGCUUUUAUUAAAUGCGUAAACCACAAAGAUGUCGGCCAAAUCUUCAAGUGGAAAGUCUGGAAAUGAUGAUGACAAAGCUCCAACAUCAGCCCGCACAGAAAAUAUCCGGAGAGGAAGACAAAAUGUACAGAAUGAAAUGAAAGAUCUAAUUAUUGAGAAGAAAUCUGAACUUUCAAAAGUGUUAAACGAAAUUAAAGGAGAUAUUGUUGAAAAACUUGAUGAAGAAGCAAUCAAAAGUACUUCGGUGUCUCCUGAGUUGAAAAAAUCUGAAACGCAGCUGAUUGACAGUUAUUACAUCCAGCAAAGGAACAAAUUCAUCAAAACAACUAAUCCGAAUAUAGAUCAAAAUAUCAAUAAAAGCGACUCUAAUUUGUGGCUGAACACUGAUAAGCUGGGUUUUCGCUCACCCUUAGAUGUGGCUCUUUUAUUCCAGCGGACAGUCAUAAGCCCUUUUUUCAUUGCUUGCCAUGGUUUUCUAGCUGGAGUAGCAGUCAUGCAACUAGUCUUGGCAUAUUAUUUGAUCUCUGGGCAUAAUUUUGAUCAAACUACAUCUGAAACUGUGUUUCGAGUGUAUCAGCAAUUGGCUUUGGUUGGACCCUCUUGCUUUGCAUUUUUCAUCUCAAUUUGUUUCAUGUCUAUAUUGGACAGAGUUGACCUUUUUCACAUUUUCAAGUGUGAUCCUCGUGACUGGAUCUCUUACCGCCGCAGUUGGGUCAUUGGACUCAUUUAUUUCUGUGGCCUUGUCAUCAAUGCUGUUUGUUUCCGAUAUGAUCACAUGAUAUCACACUAUCCGUCAAAGGAUCCUACAAUUGUCAAUUUUCAAGGGACCUCAUCGCCAGAAGUUGUUUCAGACUGGUAUAAAAACCAGAGCAUCUCAUCACUUGUGUCAACUUGGCAAAUUCUGAAUGCUGUAAGAUGUGUCUGUGCCAUUUUAGGAUGGAUUUUGCUUUGCUUUUCUCAGACAACUGACUUGUUAGCUGAUCACUUACAUGAGGUAAAAACUUUUGACUUGGAAACAGAUGAUAAAAUCGUCAUUGAUAACAGACCUAGUUAA
rnacentral:lncRNA from 1 species